rnacentral:rRNA from 1 species
CGAGUCUGUUGCUGGUCCUCAACGGGGGCAUAGUGCACGCUCUGUUCACACAUCCACUUACACCUGUGCACCCUCCGUAGUUCUAUGGUCUGGGGGGACCUGCCCCCUCCCUCCUGUUCUUCUAUGUUUUUACACCCCCCCGCUGUAAUGAAUUCUUAUGGAAUGCCCACGUUUUUUAACGCAAUGCAAUACAUCUUUCAACAAAUGAUCUCUCGCCUCUCUCAUCGAUGAACAACGCAACGAACUGCAAUAAAUGAUGAGUGUUGAAUAAUUCAAUGAAUCAUCUCUUCUAUCAACGCUCGUUGCCCCCGUUGGCUAUUAAGAGGGGCAUGGCUGUUUGAGUAUCAAGAACACCUCUCCUCUGACUGGUCGUCAUGAACAUCUUGUAUUUUGGACGUUUUGCUGGCCCCUAUGGUCCUCUCCUCUGAAAUGAAUCACCUUGGCUUUUUUUGGUGGCGUCUGGGAUGACAAAACUAUCUAGGCUUGUUCUUGACCACCUGCUAACCUUCAGCAAGGUAGGUGGGCUGGAUCUUAUUCAUGUCUCCCCUCAGAGAACACUUUUUUUUGAAGAUUUGAUCUCAAAUCAGGUAACACUCCCCGCUGAACUUUAUCAUAUCACUAAGGAGAAGAAAAUAAACUAACAACGACUCCCAUAUGCACUGCAAGUGAAGCGAGCACAGCUCAAAUUUCUAAUCUGGCGUGCCUCUGGCCAUCUGAAUUCUAGUCUAGAGAUUUCUUUUCUGUACCGUAUCAG